AACCAAAGAUCUUGUUGGUAUUCAUUGCAGAGGAUUGGAAACAAACUUUUCAAUAUGCUUGGCAGCACUGGAAAAUGCUUGAUCGUAAUUUUAGUUUUGGCCGUGGUCCUUCAUGAUGUCGUCGGAAUCGAUGCGGUCAACGGAACUUCCGGACAGGAUGCCUGGCAACAACUCAUGGACUACUACGCUAAGAUGCGGGCAUAUUAUCAGAAAGUCAUCGAGGAUGCCCGUAACCGAGUCUCCGGGAACGGGACUUCAGCCUAGAAGCAUUCCCAUUGAGAGAACUACGUUCAUUGAUGCUAAACCACUGUUUAAUUCGAAGUAUGCAUCUACAAUAAAAGUUCUCGAAGGAA